AGUGAACGCUGGCGGUAGGCCUAACACAUGCAAGUCGAACGGCAGCACAGUAAGAGCUUGCUCUUACGGGUGGCGAGUGGCGGACGGGUGAGGAAUACAUCGGAAUCUACUUUUUCGUGGGGGAUAACGUAGGGAAACUUACGCUAAUACCGCAUACGACCUACGGGUGAAAGCAGGGGAUCUUCGGACCUUGCGCGAUUGAAUGAGCCGAUGUCGGAUUAGCUAGUUGGCGGGGUAAAGGCCCACCAAGGCGACGAUCCGUAGCUGGUCUGAGAGGAUGAUCAGCCAAACGGGAACUGAGACACGGUCCAGACUCCUACGGGAGGCAGCAGUGGGGAAUAUUGGACAAUGGGCGCAAGCCUGAUCCAGCCAUACCGCGUGGGUGAAGAAGGCCUUCGGGUUGUAAAGCCCUUUUGUUGGGAAAGAAAAGCAGCAGGUUAAUACCCCGCUGUUCUGACGGUACCCAAAGAAUAAGCACCGGCUAACUUCGUG
rnacentral:rRNA from 1 species